ACGCCAAUUAUUGAAUGAAGCAGACAUAGUGGGUGAGAUUAAAAGCAGAAGGUUACGGUGGACGGGACACAUUCUGAGGAAAGAAGAAAGCGCUCUGACAAGCAGUGUACUGAGGAAUAAUCCUAUAGGAAGGAGACCAGCUGGAAGGCCAAAAACUAGAUGGUGGGACCAGGUCCGGAAAGAUAUGAGGAGGAUGGGCCUAAAAGAGGAGGACGCGGGUGACCGAAACUUUUGGAGAGGCUUGGUUGAUGAGGCCAAGUACCGACUGGGGUACGAGUGGCCACCGCAGUAAGUAAUUAUAUGCUUCAAAACCAAACAUAGAAGAGAUAUUUGACAUUAUUAUCACUAGAAUAGG